rnacentral:rRNA from 1 species
UACGUAGGGUGCAAGCGUUAAUCGGAAUUACUGGGCGUAAAGCGUGCGCUGGCGGUUUUGUAAGUCUGUCGUGAAAGCCCCGGGCUCAACCUGGGAAUUGCGAUGGAGACUGCAAGGCUUGAAUCUGGCAGAGGGGGGUAGAAUUCCACGUGUAGCAGUGAAAUGCGUAGAGAUGUGGAGGAACACCGAUGGCGAAGGCAGCCCCCUGGGUCAAGAUUGACGCUCAUGCACGAAAGCGUGGGGAGCAAACAGG